rnacentral:lncRNA from 1 species
GUAAUUGGAGGAUCGCGUUUCAUCAAAGAUGAAAGGAAUCGCGUGUAUGUUGUAUUAAUACAUAUAUCGGAUAGCCAUAUUAUAUACACAGCGUGGUUAUUGUAUUUUAGAUUAUUCCACGCGAAAAAAUCACUCAAGCAUAUGAUCCUAUACUUACUUUAAGUCUUCAAGUCUGAGUUUCCAACAUCUUGUGAAUUAACACAAAGGGAAGAAGCCACAGAUCAAUUUAGGUUCUCAGAAUCUGUUUUACUUGAUGACCUUGUACUCCUUGUAUAUACGCUUAAAUGGUCAUAUUAUGAUCUCUUGAACCAUCCUUAUGAUCUUAUGAUCUCUUCUUGAAUGAUCAAUUUUUACUAAGCAAUACGCUAAUUUUUUUAAAAAAUCUUCUUUUCUUCUGUUCUAGAAUAAAAUCAUAAGACAAAUAUCAAAUAAAUUUUGUAUUGCAUUUAGAUUGUUGUAAUUGAUUUUUUACUGGAAUCGAUACAAUCGAGGUCGUAACAAGAUGAUCGUCAAUCGUAUAAAUAAUUCGAUACAUCAAUGCUUCUUCGUAUACUGCAGAUACAUGUAAACGAAUAUAGUUAAAAUAGGCGUGACCGUGCAGCUCAAACUAUAUAUAAGAAGCGGACAGGCGGACGUAAAUGAAUGUUUGAAGAGUGGAACAAAAGUGGAUAGCGUAAAUACGAAUUCUUGACUGCACAUGUGCAAUCUAUUCUCUCCAUAGGCUGUACGUCACGAAGUAAUUUGUACUGGAUUCAGUUUUCGUCUAGUUCCAAUAAAAGAACAUGUACCAACAUAAA